rnacentral:lncRNA from 1 species
GAAAGGUGAAACUUGUGAACACAUUUAAUGGAAUAAAACAUUUUGUGAGAGCUGUAGGCAGUUGUGAUUGCUCGAGUGCCUCUUCUGCAUCAUGGAACCAGGAUUGAAGAGAAGAGCUCAGCCCCAAAGGAGAGGAACAGAAUUGCUUCUGGAAGCAACCAUGACAGCUUCCACUCUCCAUGAGAAAAGAAUAGCACAGGAGGAAACGGCGGCCCUGGAAAGAGCUUGCUGUCCAAGAGGCAAAGGAGGCUGGCAGACACAGAGCUAAGAAAGGUCAUGCGUCCAAGAAGAGAAAAAGAAUUCUGUUGAAUUCACUAUUGAAGUUUAGAAAUGAGAAGAAAGGGAUGGUGUGCUGCAGGGGGACAGCUGAGAAGGAAUGCCAUUAGAACAGAAAGAGGAAUUUGGAUACAAGUACUGGAAGUCACAUAGCAAUUUCGGAGCAGGGUUCUUAAACACACACGCACAUAGACACACAUAUACAACCCUAUUUAGCAACCUGUCAGGAUUUCUCCGUGAGAUUCUUAUUCUUGCAGCUCUCAGGCUAGGCCCCAUUAUAGGAAUUGAUCAUAAUUCAUCUACUUCAAGCCUAUUUAUAUGAUUUGC